UUGUAAAUACAGAAUUUUUCAACAAAGACGAUUUUACAAAAAUCAUCUUAAAAGACUAUCAUUCUAAGAUGGUUAGAAGUGAAUGGUUGUCAUCUCAGGGCUUUGAAGCCCUUUUUCCUUUCGCUCUCGCGAAAUCCAGCAGUGCCUAUACUCACACAGUCACAAACCCUAACAAUGACACCACCACAUUUUCUUGCUUCUCCUCCCUUUAGCCAUGCCCGAAUCACGUGACUGUCGCGUAACCAUCAUUGACCUUGCCACCUCCUUAUCCCGCUUGUGUCCCAUUUAUCUACAUUGACGCUCCAACUCUUUGUACCCCCCCCCCCCCCAAGAACCGCCGCCCUCAAUAGCGGAAGAGCUUGUGCUUGUCCCGACUCCCAAAACAUACCACAAUCUACUGUGUGACAUGGUAAAGGAUGUGUUCUGUUACGCUGCGUGCUUCCGACGUGGUACCCUAGGAUCCAAUUCUUCUACUCUUUUCUUCAUCACAGAUAGCUUGACUUUAGCAUUUUACUUGUGAAGUAAUAUAAUCCAAACAAGCUUCAACAACAUUCUUUCUGCUCAACAAGUCUUCAAUUUCAAUCAGUGAUCUUCACCUUUCUCUCUGCCUCAUCUCCCUUUAAUUCAGGUGCUAUGUGAUAGACCCCCUGGUCAUGAUUGGGAAACUAGAUAUGCUUGCUGAGCAAACAAAACAUUGGAGAUGUUAAGACAAAGUACAUGGGAGUUCUUAGAGUAUGAAUGCUCUUGCCUCUUGCUCAAGGAGGAAAAUGCUUUCGAGGCAAAGAAUGCAUUUCAACAAGACUCAAAAUCUACUGUCUCAAAUUAGCAGAGGAGCUUGGGGUGAUAGUUCCUAACCCAUGGGUUACUUGCUUUAAGGCGGCUAGUUUACCUGCCAUUGUUUGUCUUCUUAUGCCAUUGAUUUUGUACAAGCUCUAUCCCCCUGAAAUCAAAGACACACCAGAGGCUCCUGCCCUGGCUGCCAAGAAACUGGAAAGUAUGGGCCUUGUCAUUAAAAACGAAUGGAUUAUGGUCGGCACAAUGCUUCUUGCAGUGUCUUUAUGGAUCUUUGGACACUAUCAGCAUAGCAAGUGCUGUAGCUGCAAUGAUUGGUUUAUCAAUACUCCUCCUAUUAGGAGUCCUUGACUGGAAUAACUGUUGGAAUGAAAAAUCAGCAUGGGAUACCUUAGCUUGGUUUGCCAUUUUGGUAGGUAUGGCAAGCCAGUUGACAAACCUUGGUUAUGUGAGCUGGAUGUCUGAUUGUGUGGCCAACAACCUUCGGUCAUUCUCUUUGAGCUGGCCGGCUUCAGUAGCUGUUCUUCAGGCAGCUUAUUUCUUCAUCCACUACCUUUUUGCAAGUCAGACUGGACACGUGGGGGCUUUAUACUCCGCAGUUCUUGCCAUGCAUAAGGCAGGUGGUGUUCCUGGUAUUUUGGCAGCCCUUGCUUUAGGUUAUAAUACAAAUCUUUUUGGUGCAAUAACACUAUAGUAGCCACCCCUAUUGAAUUGGCAAACGUCAGAGAACUCCUUAUGAACUAUGAUGUUUUUAGUUUCCUUUAUUUUCCUUGUUACAACUUACAAGCUUUAUUUUAUUUUAAUUUUAAUUAUAUUUUUUUCUCUUUGAUUCUGUUUCUAGUCCAAGCUAUAUUUAAUAUUCUCUUGUUAAUAUAUUUGAGGUUCUUUCUUCAUGAAAUGAAAAUUUGGUCUUUCAUA